GCAAGGAAAGCUGAAGCCGAAAUCCCGCCGCCAGUCUGUGUACCAGCUUAGUGUAGUGUGGUCACCCAGGGAAAGAGUGAGAGAGUUCCGGGAAAACACUGCUGGAAGUGUUCACACUUCAGGAGAGACGGCAUCAACACACCAUGGGAAAUGCCAUACGAAACCCAACCCUUUCAGCAUCACCCACCACGGCGGCCGGACUGGAACAGUAAGACAUCACCAUGCUGUUCUCUCUCUCCUUGCCUGCUUCAGUCUUCACACGGCCUCAUCUGGCAAUCUUGAACUCUAUGUCUUUGAGGGGUUUUCUCUAAUGUUAAUAAACUGUCUUCCCUUAAGUGGCAAA
rnacentral:lncRNA from 1 species